UACGGAGGGGGCAAGCGUUAUUCGGAAUUAUUGGGCGUAAAGGGCGCGUAGGCGGCUAGAUGUGACAAAGGUGAAAUCCCUCGGCUCAACUGAGGAACUGCCUUUGAAACUGUCUGGCUUGAGGCUGGGAGAGGGUAGCGGAAUUCCCAGUGUAGCGGUGAAAUGCGUAGAUAUGCGGAGGAACACCGAUGGCGAAGGCAAUCCCCUGGGCCUGCACUGACGCUCAUGCACGAAAGCGUGGGGAGCAAACAGG
rnacentral:rRNA from 1 species